rnacentral:lncRNA from 1 species
UAAAAUGCAUAAUUGUCAAAUAGUUUGGCUUAAAAACAACAGAAGCAUAACUGAUUGAGCGGUCUAAGAGUAGAAGGCAUCACAAGCCACAGGAAACCAGCACAUCAGGCCUCAGGUGCAGGCUGCGUGAGCCCGGCCUUGGCAAGCAGCUUCCCCAUGGCGUCAGGAGAGCACACCUGGUACUGCACCUCCCCAGUGCCGGGCUGCACGAAGACCUCGGCCAGCUCCAGCUUAUCGGCAGUCAAACUAGUGGAAUCCAUGGUCUUGCUGAGGACCUUGAGGGCAAGGGCGACGGCCUCCUCGCGGGUCAUGCCGUCCUUGUAGUCCUGCUUGAGCAUGGACUGGGCGGCCUGGCUGUUGGCCCCGACGGCGGCGGCCUUCCAGCCACCG